rnacentral:ncRNA from 1 species
AUAAAUUUUAGUGUUAACUAUAAAUUAUUUUAAUAAUAAUUUAUUAUAUAUAAAUGUAGUAAUUAAUAUUAAAUUAUUUAAGAAAUUAAGAUUUAGUAAUAUUUAACUUAAUAACAAAUUUUGUGCCAGCAGUUGCGGUUAUACAAAAAUUAAAUUAAAUUUUAUUAGUGAUUAAUAAAUAAUUUAUUUAUAAUGUAAAUUUUAAAUUAUUAGGUGAAAUUUUAAUUUAAUAAAAUUUUAUAAUAAGAGUUAUGAUUUAAUAAAUUUUAUAAGAAACUAGGAUUAGAUACCCUAUUAUUAAAAUUUAAAAUUAGAAUACUAAAAUAGUAAAUAAUUAUUUAUUGAAACUUAAAUAAUUUGGCGGUAUUUUAGUUCAUUUAGAGGAAUCUGUUUAAUAAUUGAUAAUCCACGAAUAAAUUUACUUAAUUUAAAAUUUUGUAUAUCGUUGUUAAAGAAAUAUUUUUUAAUAAAAUUAAUAUUUAAUAAUUAUAAUAUAAAUUUAAAUCAGAUCAAGAUGCAGAUUAUAAUUAAGAAUAUAAUGGAUUACAAUAAUUUUAUUUAAAUGAAUAUUAAUUUGUAAAAAUUAAUUGAAAGUGGAUUUAAAUGUAAUUUUAUUUAAUUUAUUAAAAUGAUUAUAAAUUAAAAUAUGUACAUAUUGCCCGUCGCUUUCAUAUAAAAAUAAAUUGGAAUAAGUCGUAACAAAGUAGAGGUACUGGAAAGUGUUUCUAGAAAGAA